CCUGUGCUUCUGCUGAGCAUCCACAGACACCUGCAGCAAACGAUCCAGACAUUCUGACUCAGAGAGGAGAGGGAACAAGGUUAAAUAAGCUAAUUACCUCACCAGGACCUCCUCAUACUAAUUAAAACUAAGGUCUGGAUCAAAAUAAUAAAAAGGAGUUUUGCAACAAAGGAGAAG